rnacentral:misc_RNA from 1 species
CUUAUCAUUUAGAGGAAGGAGAAGUCGUAACAAGGUUUCCGUAGGUGAACCUGCGGAAGGAUCAUUGUCGAAUCCUGCAAAGCAGAACGACCCGCGAACCCGUUAACAAAACGCGGACGGGGGGGCAUGCCCGCCCGUCCGCUGCCGGGGGUUCCACGCGGCGCUCCGCCGCCCGUGUGCCCCCGACCGUACAUCGUACCCCGGCGCGGAAUGCGCCAAGGAACAUGAACAAGAGAAGCGUUGCCCCGGCGUCAUCCCCCCACGGGGAUCCGUCCGCGUGGCCUCGCCGUCUCAAACUUAUCAAAACGACUCCCGGCAACGGAUAUCUGGGCUCUCGCAUCGAUGAAGAACGUAGCGAAAUGCGAUACUUGGUGUGAAUUGCAGAAUCCCGUGAACCAUCGAGUCUUUGAACGCAAGUUGCGCCCGAAGCCAUCCGGCCGAGGGCACGUCUGCCUGGGUGUCACGCAACAUGUCGCCCCUAAAGCCCUCCCCCAUCCCAUCCCGGGGUGAGCGGAAGGCGCAGGGCGCGGACGCUGGCCUCCCGUCGCGCACCGCUGCGGCUGGCCUAAAAAUGAGCGAUGGAGCGACGCACUCCGCGACGCACGGUGGUGGUAAAUUCGCCCCUCGGGCAACAGUCCGGAUCGUCCCUCCCUCGGCGCUCGGCGGCCUUCCAUCAAAACACAUGCGACCCCAGGUCAGGCGGGGCCACCCGCUGAGUUUAAGCAUAU